rnacentral:SRP_RNA from 1 species
GGAGCAACACUUGUGCGUGAAGUGGGUCAGGGGAGGAAUCCAGCAGCCCUAAGCGAUUUUCGGGUGUGUGCUCUUUUUUUGUUGACUUUACUAAAGUAAUUUCCUCCUUCUAUAGUGUCAUCAGUUGUUG